GACAGAGGGGGCAAGCGUUGUCCGGAAUUACUGGGCGUAAAGCGCGCGCAGGCGGCCUACCAUGUGCCUGGUGACAGUCCGCCGCUCAACGGCGGGAGGCCUGGGUAGACAGGUGGGCUAGCGGCAGGGAGAGGGCAGUGGAAUACCCGGUGGAGCGGUGAAAUGCGUAGAGAUCGGGUGGAACACCAGUGGCGAAGGCGGCUGCCUGGCCCUGAAACGGACGCUGAGGCGCGACAGCGUGGGGAGCAAACGGG
rnacentral:rRNA from 1 species